AAGACUAUGUGCUACACAAUGGGUACAACGCUAUGACGCUGUACAUGAUUUUGUGGAAUUAUUUGAAUUUGUAUUAGAAGCCUUAGAAUUAAUUUCAGACUGGAAAGAUUCAUCAGGAACUGCUAUAGAAGCCAAUACGCUUAUAAAAUCAAUUGAUUCAGAGUUCAUUGUAUCAGUGUUUGUUGUUAAGCUACUGUUUUCAUAUGGUUUGGCUCUAUGCAAGCAGUUGCAAAGAGAGCGAAUUGAUUUAAAAGAAGCAGUUAAUCUCACAGAAGAUAUAGUGACAGAGUUAAAGCUAAUUAGAAGUAAUUGUGAUUGUGAAUUUAAAAAAAAUAUUUAGUCAAGCAAAGGACAUGUCUGCUAAACUAGACAUUGAAUUAACACUCAAAAGAAUCAUUAAAAUACAAAAAAACCGUGCCAAUCUUAUAAAGUUAUAACAGAUGGAGAGUUAAGUGUAGAAACAUACUAUAGGAUAACAGUUUUUCUACCUUAUCUUGAUUAUUUUAUAACUGAAUUCAGAUAUUUUCAAAGGGUUCGAAUACUUAUUUUCAACAAAUUCAAAUUUAAAUGAAGAUGAAGAAUUAUCAUUCAAACUAUUGGUAGAAUUUAAUAGUCCUGAUGUAGAAUGUUUUGACAAAUCAUUUUUUGAAUUAAAAUUAUGGAAGCGUAAGUUAAAUAAAUGUAAAAAGCUUCCAAAAUCUGGUCUCCAAGCACUUAUUAUGUGAGAUGAACAAAUUUAUCCCAACAUAUUUUUGCUCUUAAAAAUAUUAUGUACAUUGCCAGUCUCGACCACUUCACCAGAGCGUAUGUUUUCUAUUUUAAAAAGAGUAAAAACUUCCCUCAGAAACACAAUGGGUCAGGAACGCUUGAAUGGAUUUACGAUAUUAUUAGUGCAUCGGGACAUUAAGUUGAACCCCAAUAACAUACUGGAUAUUUUGGUGAAAACACAAAAUGAAAACUUGAAAUAAUAUUAUAAUAUAUGAAAAAUAUAUUUGGCUUAAUUCAA